ACUGGCCAACGUAGCCCGAGCUGUGCGAGAGACGGUCAAGACACACGCGGACGAGGCGGGGUAGAACCAUGAUGGCAGAGGCGAGGCCGCGCUGGAGGCCGCCAACGCGAGUGAUAUAAGCGGUGCAAGGCGGGAGCGAGGUGAGCGCAGGUGGCACUGGUGUGUGAAGGUAUAUCUGCACGCAGGAGGUGCAAGCGCGGCGCAGCAAAGCUGAUUACGGCGACUCUAGGCGCGAUUGGGCGUGCGCGGGUCGGGGGCGCGGCGGAGCGAGCGCAGCAGGAGCCGACCACGAUGGAGGUGAGGCACAGCUAGUGGAGGUCAACACAGUAGGAGACGAUGCAUGACGAAGGUGAGGUGCAGCAGGUCGAGCGUAGCACAGCGGGCGCCGGCGCACGGCGGCGCACAGUGCAGCAGAAGGAGUCAGCUGCAGGAGCGGCGGCUGAGGCGAGACCGCUUCUGAAGGCCUGCUCAGGACGGGGCGACACCGUCCCGGAUCGAGGAGAACUCGGAGCGAGGCGGAGGCGCAUCAGCAGCAAGGUGAGGCGACUGCAACUCGGACGCGAAAAUCCGGUUCGGACAGCAUGGAGCAAGGCAACGGAGGCUCGAACACAAGAUAGGUGAGGCAACUUGCAGCGGGCGGUGGUUCACGCACCUCGCAGCUGAGGCGAGCGAGUCAGGACGAAGCGGAGCCAGCCACAGCGGCCGAGGUGACGCAGAGGUGGGGCCGGCUCAGAUGCGCACUCGCGAGGCAAAGGGUGGAGGUCCGGCGAGUGCAAGCGCGUCGACGGCUCAAAAAGUGUGGCUGGCGCAAUACCAGGCCACGGCGGCGGUGUCCUCCCCAGGGACGAAGUAGUCCUUUUUUCCUUCCUUGAUUCCUCCUCGGUGUCAUGGCAGACCAAAACUGAUCAAAUACGUACCGACUUAGUACUAUGGCUAGACUGCUUGGCUUCACAUCUUAUAGCAAAUCCAUCCAAUAGCGACGGGCCGAUGGUUGUUGGUUUCGGACACCUGCAUGGCUUUCAGGAGUAAAUCACUUGGCACUUUAGGGUUCAUCUGAUGUACUCCAUCAUCGCCUAAAAUUUUCUUGAUCAGAUCCCUUCCAGUGUAGAUGCUACAAAUUAUUUUUCAAUCAUGAUCAUGCGAGCAAGCCGACGGAUACCAUGCAUAGACAUGUACCAAUGUCACUAUUCCUUAUGUCCUUUAAACUUUUC
rnacentral:lncRNA from 1 species